rnacentral:rRNA from 1 species
UGCCAGCCGCCGCGGUAAUACGGAGGGUGCAAGCGUUAUCCGGAAUCACUGGGUUUAAAGGGUGCGUAGGCGGCUUAAUAAGUCAGAGGUGAAAGCCCACAGCUCAACUGUGGAACUGCCUUUGAUACUGUUAAGCUUGAAUAAGGAUGAGGUCAGCGGAAUGUGGCAUGUAGCGGUGAAAUGCAUAGAUAUGCCAUAGAACACCGAUUGCGAAGGCAGCUGGCUAGACCUUUAUUGACGCUGAGGCACGAAAGCGUGGGGAGCGAACAGGAUUAGAUA